CGGCAACCUAUCGCGCGCUGUCGGUGGUAGAGGUUACUGCACGCAUGCUUGCAUAUCCGUCGCCUGUGCUGGCGCGGCAGAACUCGAUCGGGCCGGAGUCUCCGUUCCCGAUCUACUCUAAAUUUGAGCCACUGAAUUAUGUCGGACCAUCAGUUCGCUGCGGAGCUCUGUAAACGUGUGCAGCGCUAUCCGGAAUUAUACGAUAUAUCUCACGAAAGGUUUCACAUCGAGGAUGCGAAGCAGCGCGCUUGGGAAGCGAUCGCCGACGAGCUUCGAGCGCAACCGUCCAAGUGCAUAACGAAAUGGAAGACCAUAAAACACCAGUUUGUCAAGGCAAGGAAAGACGGCAAUACAGCGUGGGAAUUGUGGUCCUCGCUGAAGUUUCUUGAUGAAGCAGCAAACAGAAAGACUUACUCACUGCCCGAUGACGCACUGUUUGUUCUGACGAAAAGUGCCCUAGAAAGUGCCAGAGCUGGAAAGCUACUACAGCAUCUGACCAUCGUACCUACACCUCCAGCGACAGAGACCACUGCUACAUCGUCUGGUGCUGCGCCAUCCUCAAGAAGCAAGAAUGAGCCUGAUGUUCUUUUGAUGAAAGUCCAAGCCAAGCACAUGUACGAGUGGCACAACGUACUGCGCAGCAGCCCACACUAGGCCGCGUAACUCCUGAAAAACGAAGUGGUGAUACAAGUCGGGAACAGCUGACAGGAAGCUCGAAAGUUGAGGGACCAUCUCCGAAGCGCUCAAGAACCGGGAGAAGCAGCAUUGGCGCAGAUGACAAGGGUCUUGAGGACAUGACGUGGGCUAAUGCAUUGCACCUCAGCUUCUUCAAGCAAGUGCACGUGAAGUUUGCGAGACUCAAGCCAGAAGUAGUGUGGACGAUGAAGGCGGACAUUCUCAACAUGCUCGACAAGGCAGCCAAGUCUUGAAAACAAACCGCAGCAACUACCUGAACUGCUCCACUCAAGUCUCAAGUUGAUAUAUGUGCAAUUUUAAAUAGCACAUACAUCAAAUCAGUUCGGUCUGAGCUCUCAUACCAUUCAAAAUACCACACAUUGUACUUAAUAUUGCACAUGUGGACUGGAUAUGCAACUGUGAUGCGAACAUAAGUAAACGAAA